CCUUUAUCAGUGACUGUCCCUGUCCACCGCUUCCUGGGGGGAGUCUGGUGGCAGGUGCUCCAAACUUUCCAGUCUACCCACUGCAGGCAGUGGUGGGGUCCCCACGGAGAGCUGGGUUUUCCUUUCUGGGAGUUCCCCUCUGGCCAGAAGCCUUGGCCUCCAGUCCUUCCAGCAUUUUUCGGGCAUGUUCAUUGGGUUUGCACUUCCCUGCGCUGCCCUCGUGCACUGGCUUCUCCUUCACCUUCCUUAUGGUUUGUCCUCGCAGCUCGCCCUUCGCUCCCCAGCUCGCCAGCCCCCCAACCCGAGGCCCCCGGGGGCGCUCGGCUAUCCGGAGGAACCAGAACCCGGGUCGGGAUCCGCGCUGUUAGCAGGGAUGGGAGAGGUCGGGGGAGGGAGGCUGGGAUCUGGGGAGGAGACACGCGGCUGGCGCUGGGGAGAGCACCACCCGGGGCCACCGGGGAGCGACCUGCCGGGGGCGCACGGCGCCAAGCGCUGCCCUCGGGCGGGGCGCGCCCCGUUCGCGCGUGGGGUCAGUCACACGCAGCACGCCGCCCGCCGCCCGCGGGUCGAGAACCUUCCAGCUGGAACUUCCCAGAUUCCCGGCACCCUGUCUUCUCCCGCUUUCGGGUGAGGCUCGGGGGGAGUUGGCCCCGGAGUUCCGCACCCGCAUUCUCGGGGCGAAGAAGUCGGAGGGCGCGCGCUGGGCGCGCUGCGGGUGUCGGAGGAAGCUUUGGGGGUGCGGGAGGAUGCGCCGGCGGACGGGAGGAGCUCGGCGGGGACGCGGGGGCCCCCGGGCUGGGGUGCGGGCAGGGAAGCCCCGCGAAGCCCUGGGCGAGGCCGCCUGGAUGCAGGGCCGGGGCUGCCCCUUCCCGCAGGUCAACCCCGGCCCGUCUGCACGGUGCGCGCGGUCCCCGCGGGGUUCCCGAGCGCGGGGGGGGGGUCCCCGGUCCCCCGGGAGGGUCCUCCCCUGCUCGCGCCGGAGGACGACAGUCGGACAUUUUCCUCGGCCUCGCUCGCGGCAGCCGGGGUGGCCGCCGGGCAGGGCUGCGUGAGGGGCCCGGGGCUCGGGCGGAGCCAGAGGACACUUCCCCCCGGCCCGGGCUGCCCGGCCGGUCCGCCCGCAGGAGCCCCGGGAGCCGCGCGCGCGCCCCGGAGGUCGCCGUGCGGGGGGACCCGCUCCCACCCCCCGCGAGCCCGAGGGGGCGGGGCGGGGGCGGGGCGCGCGGGGGGCGGGGCGCGGGCGGGGCGCGGGGGCGGGGCGCGGGCGGCCGGGAGCGCGGAGCCGCCCCGCGGGAGGGCCUGCGAGCCGCGCCCGGGAGCAGAGGGCGAGCGGCGGACCCGGCCGGGCCCGCGCGCCGGGAGGAAGGCGCCCCGCCGCCGCCGCCGCCGCCGCUCCGCGUGCUCAGCCCGUCCCCGCCCCGGGAGCCCGCGCCCCCUAGCUCCGCCCGCCGCUCCGCCGCCCGCAGGCUCCGGCUUCCGUCCCGGACUGCGCCCGCGGCCGCCAGGUGGGUGCCGGCGCCCUGGCCGCCGCGCGGGGUGGGCGGGUGGGGUGGGGGCGCGAGGGGCUCGCGAAGUUGGGCAGCUGCUGGCCCGGCCGGGUGCGCGCCCCCCCCUCCGCGUCCCCCCGUGUCCCUCCGCUUCUCCCCGCGUCCCUGCCUCCCCCCGGCUUCCCGGCGCGUCCCCCGCGUCCCGGCGCCCGAGGCGGCUGUGGAUCCCCCGGCUGGAGCGCCGGCAGCCGCGCGCCUCGGCCCGGGAGGGUGGCGGGUCCCACCCGGGUCCCACCCGCCUCCCCCGCCCCCGCGGCCGCCUCGGGAGGGGACCCUCGCCCCCCGGCUACGUCUGUGCCAAGUUGGGGAAGUCGCGGCCCCGCGGGCCCCCGAGGACUAG
rnacentral:lncRNA from 1 species